UUUCUCAAAAAACUCCGAUACAAAAAAAUGCAUCCAUUUGGGUACAGAGCCAACGCUCUGUAAACUUUCGCCGUCACCAUUGUCCCUUAAUGUGCGCCAUAUCUUCUCUUGCUGACAACCUUAACGCUUCUACUCUGACUGCUGAAAUCCAGGUAUUGAAUAUUAAUUGUUUUCAGAAGUAGACGCACGGAAACGAUGAGGAUACUCAUCUUCUACUGACUGGGGGAGUGGAGAAAAUCCUUCGUAUUCUUGAUUUGAAUCGUCCAGAUGCACCCCCAAGAGAAGUGGAUAGAUCUCCUGGUUCAGUCAGAACUGUUGCAUGGCUCCAUAGUGAUCAAAUAAUGUUAAGCUCUUGCUCUGACAUGGGCGGUGUCAGUGGUUGUUUAUGGGAUGUAAAAAGUGGUAAGAUAGUCCAAACACUCGAGACCAAGUCAUCUGUGACCAGUGCUGAAGUGAGUCAAGAUGGUCGUUAUAUCACAACUGCUGAUGGGUCAAUAGUUAAGUUCUGGUAUGCAAACCAGUAAGUUUUACGCCUUGGCCAAAUCUGAAUCUUGAACUCUGAUGAAAUGGGAACUAUCUCUCUGAACAAGAUGUUACAGUUGAUAUUGAGGCAAUCAAAGAAGAGAAAAGAGUUUUGGAAUUGUCUCUAGCAGAAGCCAGAGACAAAAAUUCUAGGCUCAGAGAUAAGGUCGAUGAAGUUAACAGUACUCAUGGUGAAUUAUCCAAGGAACUCCAAUCUGUCCAAGGUCAACUGGUAACCGAGAGAUCAAGAAUCUUUAAAUUGGAGCCAAAGUGGAAUGAUGCACUUCUUGAGAUGUUUAGAAUCAAUUACAUCGGUACUUCUCCAUACAUCACCUGUUUGCCUUCGCUCUAUCAUCAUCAAGUCAGCCCAAGGGACAAGUUCUUGAUAUUGUCUUCAGAUGGACUCUAUCAAUACUUCAUCUAUGAAGAAGCUGUAUCCAAAGUUGAGUCAUUCAUUGCUGCAUUUGGAGAUCCUGCACAACAUCUCAUAAAGCUGGUAUUGACUUCCAUGAGUUGCUUGAUAUACCACAAGUAAGAAUGGUCUCAUUCUGAAUGACCAAUAUCUGAUUUUUUGGCAGAAAGAUGUGGUUCGUUCUGAACCAUGAAAAGGUUAGAAAUGUGUUGAUGACACAAAAUAGUUAGACCAAGGUGCUAGAAAUGAUUAUAGUAGCAAUUUUUGCUAUGGUGGUUUUGGCUCUUAUUAUGUUGCCGGUUAUUGUAAAGUUUUAUAUGUUUACAUAUGCGGCAAGUUCAUGUAACACUUACACCAAAACCUUCUUUGGGGUUGAUGGAGCUGGAAAGCGAUUAGCACAUGGAGUGAGUCUUGAUAUGUGUUCCAUUUAUAUGUAUAUGACCUGCAUCUUUAUAGGGAAUUACAUGUGUAUCAAAAUUGAUGAUUUUUCUUCCUUAAUAAUCUGGGAACAGGGCAAACACCAUCACACUGAGCAGAUUUAGAAUUUUUAAUCUGUUUACUGUGUGAAAUUGAUAGAUUUUAUGUGGAUGGUAGUUAAAGAUGAUGCCAAUCAAUUUUGAAAUGACAAUGUGAUCAUUUAAUGAUUACUUUUUGUUUUAAUCGUUGAAGUAUGAUGAAUGCAAGCUGAACGUUGUCUUUGGUUUCAGGGUAAGCAUCUGAGAACAAACAGUUGUGCCAGGCUGCCAGCCUGAGAGUUGGCUAUAAAUGAAUAGAGCUGAUGGAGUCUGUGCUUCCUUCUUUCCCUUAUAUAUUUAUAUACAUAUAAUUUCUUGAUGGAUAGUCGUUUAGGUUAGAUUUAUACAAGUUAUUGAAAUUCUGAUCUCUUAUUGAUGCUCACUUAAUUUUUUAAAUAUACAGUAACAACAACGUUUAUUCGAGCCUCGUAAUAAAUUUUGUAA